AAAGCCACAGAUUUAUGAUUAUUUCCUCCACGCCAUUGUAGUCACAAAGAGCCUCCAUGACCCAGACAGUCCCUCCAUCCCGCACGGUAGCAGCUGUUUUUCUUGUCUCAAGCCUACUGGCAGCUUCACCAUCAACAACCACCCGAGACAUUCUCAGCCCCUAGAUUUUUGGUAUUUCUCAAGUUGAGAUAUGAGAUCACCCAGGUUGAACAGAUCUUUGUGGUGGGGAACUCUGGCAAACAUUUUGAGAUAAUUCUAGUUAAGUGGAUUACUUGUUUAAUUCCAGCAUGUUUAGAGCUGAUUUUAGGAAACCACACAUAUACACACAAGUGCACAUCUUCCACUUGAUCAUAUCUGGAAUAGAUAAAAGGUGUUGGAUGUAUGCCCUUGAAGCAUUAUGGGCUCUGGCACUGGUGGACCAUGCUAAAAGGUGUGGUCUUACUCAUGAUAAAUUUUGUGGCUUGGGAUUGUAUUUGGAUUAAUGAGAGAGCUGUACAUGUGUUCUCGUA